rnacentral:lncRNA from 1 species
GUGAACAAGGAAAUACAUAAUUGGUGAUGACUAUAAAAAGAACAUGAGUUAUUUGGGGAGAAGGAGAUGAGGCAGGCCUGUCAGGAGAAAUGACAUUCCAGCUACAACAUGAGUAGGAAUUAGCCGAGUGAAUGACAGGUAUGAGAGUAUUGUGGACAGACAUGGGGAGGCUUUAAGGAGGAUAUGGUGUUGGGAACACAGUGAUCAAGAGGGGAGGGACUGUGAGAAGAGGCUGGAGCACUCACAUAAGGUCUUCUGCUCCAGAGUGAGGAUUUUGAACAUCAUCGUAAGUGCAAUGGGAAGACCCCUUGAAGAGUUUGGUGAUGGAUAGGAGAAUUGAGGGAGGGAGGUCAUAGAUCUUUCCCAGUUUCUGGCGUGAGGCAGAUUGAAUGAGGCAUCAUUUAUAAAUCCAGUGGACAUGCAAAGAGGAGCAAACCAGGGCAACAAUUGGUUUGGGCCUUUCUUAUUUGAAGAACAAAGGCUGCUGACCACCAGACAGAAAGAAGACUUCAAAGGGAAGCUUUGAGUGAAGUCGUUUCUUUAUGGAAAUGACCUUGUUGUGGUGGCCUCCACAGUUGACAGGUUAGCUUUAAAACUGUUGUGAGUAAGAUGGUAUAAGAAAGCAAUGAGGUGGUGGUAUAUGUAUUUGCUUCUAUCAUGAAACUUGGAAUCUGUGAGCUUCAAAGGAACCUGAAGGAAACAGCCAGCAGCAACGCUUGUCUUAUAGGAUUCUUGAGACCAGGCAAUGCCACUGUGGUUUACAGCCCCACGUGGGAGGAGAAUCACCAGUAUCAGAGUUGGAAAGGGUCACAUUACCCCCAGGAGGAAACUAAAUGCCCACAGAGAUGAAUGAUCUUGUUCAAGAUCCUGCAGCAAAUCUGUAAGUGAACAGGGGAAGAGAACAAACAAACAGACAGGGCUCCUGGUUCUUUCCCAUGCCACUCUGCCUCUCAGAGGUUAAGGUUUUUUCUCUGGGCUCACAAAUCUUCUGGUUCAUCAAGGGAGGUUGCUGGGCUGCCAAAAUACUGCUCAUACACUUUGAUCCAAACUCUGUGAGAAAUGCAAGCCUCUGGAAUCUCCGCAGCAUCCUGCAAUUCUUCCAGGCAAGAACCAAAACUUCCCUUACCAUUUCUUGGCACUUGAUCAGCUGCUUGAGUUUGGAGCUGUGGUUCCCAGUGUUUUUCUGCAGAAAUCACAUAGUCAUAUGCCACUUUCUCUAGGAGAAUAGAGGAGAGUCUUCUUCAACCCUUGAGAGGAGGGUUCCAGUCCCAGCACAGAUGAGGUGCAUCCAGUUGGGAAUGAGCCUUAUUUAGGAACCCCUCCAAGAGAAGAGUUGCUGCAGCUUGUCCUCUGCCCUCUCUGGGCACCAGAACUGUCAUUCAAACAACCGGUGGCGGAGGCAGUGG